rnacentral:rRNA from 1 species
ACGCUGGCGGCGUGCCUAAUACAUGCAAGUAGAACGCUGAAGCUUGGUGCUUGCACCGAGCGGAUGAGUUGCGAACGGGUGAGUAACGCGUAGGUAACCUGCCUCUUAGCGGGGGAUAACUAUUGGAAACGAUAGCUAUACCGCAUAAAAGACGAUAUCGCAUGAUAUUGAUUUGAAAGGUGCAAAUGCAUCACUAAGAGAUGGACCUGCGUUGUAUUAGCUAGUUGGUGAGGUAACGGCUCACCAAGGCAACGAUACAUAGCCGACCUGAGAGGGUGAUCGGCCACACUGGGACUGAGACACGGCCCAGACUCCUACGGGAGGCAGCAGUAGGGAAUCUUCGGCAAUGGGGGCAACCCUGACCGAGCAACGCCGCGUGAGUGAAGAAGGUUUUCGGAUCGUAAAGCUCUGUUGUAAGAGAAGAACGAGUGUGAGAGUGGAAAGUUCACACUGUGACGGUAACUUACCAGAAAGGGACGGCUAACUACGUGCCAGCAGCCGCGGUAAUACGUAGGUCCCGAGCGUUAUCCGGAUUUAUUGGGCGUAAAGCGAGCGCAGGCGGUUAGAUAAGUCUGAAGUUAAAGGCUGUGGCUCAACCAUAGUACGCUUUGGAGACUGUUUAACUUGAGUGCAGAAGGGGAGAGUGGAAUUCCAUGUGUAGCGGUGAAAUGCGUAGAUAUAUGGAGGAACACCGGUGGCGAAAGCGGCUCUCUGGUCUGUAACUGACGCUGAGGCUCGAAAGCGUGGGGAGCAAACAGGAUUAGAUACCCUGGUAGUCCACGCCGUAAACGAUGAGUGCUAGGUGUUGGGUCCUUUCCGGGACUCAGUGCCGCAGCUAACGCAUUAAGCACUCCGCCUGGGGAGUACGACCGCAAGGUUGAAACUCAAAGGAAUUGACGGGGGCCCGCACA